GCGCCCCCGACGACAAGGUAGCCACUUGAGGCUGUCUUCCUCAUUUGAGGAUAGUCGGGGGUGUUUUA
rnacentral:ncRNA from 1 species